AGAGUUUGAUCCUGGCUCAGGACGAACGCUGGCGGCGCGCCUAACACAUGCAAGUCGCACGAGAAGGGGCUUCGGCCCUGGUAAAGUGGCGCACGGGUGAGUAACACGUGGGUAAUGUUCCCUCGGGCGGGGGAUAACCUUCCGAAAGGAGGGCUAAUACCGCAUAAGACCACGGCCUUGGAGACGAGGCUGAGGUAAAA
rnacentral:rRNA from 1 species